GCGCCCGGCCCCGCCCCACCCCGGCCUACUGCCCGCCUGGCUGCGCCGGGAGUUAGCCGGAGGCUGCUCUCACGCACUGGUGAAAGGAGAGGCCGCGCUCCCGGCUCAGCACGGUGUCCCGGGUGCUGCAGCCCACUGCCGAGCAACUUCGGGUCAUCUUCUUGCUACGUGGGGCUCCACUGUGGGUAUCCCUGCGACAGCAUUAAUCGCGACAAGUUUAGCUCCGCCCGUGGACUCGGCGGCUACGACCUUUAUUUGUCGGAAAAGGCGGGUUCUUAAGGCGCAAGACUCCUACCCUCCCUCUUCGUGGGCGCUGCGCUUGACGCCGUAGCCAAUCACGGGCCACGUCGCGUCGCCGCAGCCAAUCGGAAAAGCGUGGGGCUCGAAGACGAGCGCUUGACGGCUCCUCCCUCUGGGUUCGAGGGUGGUGAGUGGGGUUUAGUCGCUGAUGGGCUCCUUUUCCUCCCGUUUCAACCCGGUCUGGCUACAUCCGAUGCCAUCGGGAUUCUCGUGAGGCCGAACUUGAGGACGCAAAGCGGAGAGGCGGCAGCGACGUUGAGGCGAAGCCAGCGGCACGCGCUUAGGUCUCCGGUGCGAAUUCUGAAAGUGACGACGAUAUGGCUGGAGGAAGAGUUGGGACGGAGAGGGAUAAUAAACGCGGUGCCGUAGGAAUAGUGAAGACAAAAUCGGGCCUCAAAACAAAUUAUCUGCUGAGAGGCCUAUCAACUCCUUGCAUUUUAUUUGGUAGCUCCCUGAUGUGGAGAUAACAUAGGGGCUGUUGGUAUCGUUGGCCUGAGGUAAGCCACCCCGGCGGAGCUUGAAUGAGAGACUAGGCUACGUCGACGUUUAGUUCAACGAACCCUCUUCUACAAGGGAGGGAAUUUGUCACUAUGCGGGGGAAUUAAGAAGGAAGUAAGGCAAGAACGAUCGCAGCAUUUCCAAGACAUUGCUUCUUUUUUUUUUUCCCUUUUUGUUCCUUUAUCCAAAUUCCAGCCAAAGGAAUUACAUUCUUGGAGAUGUUGGGAAAAGAUUCCUCAGCCUUGGAAGAUAAUUACUCCAAAUAUACAGGGGAGACUCCACACCCAGUGUGGAGACAAACACAGAGCUUGAACUCACGACCCUGAGAUCAACGCCUGAGCUAAGAAGAGUCAGAUACUUAACCCACUGAGCCAUCCAGGCAGAAAUGAAAUUGAAGGGCGGUUUUCUUAACAUCACGUGUCAGAUUUGAUAAACAGUGAACAUUUUUAUAGAAAGAUUUGUCCAGGACUUUACUCUUUUGCAGAACUCAAGAUUAUUGAAAUGAGGAAAGGGGGCCUAAACUCUGAAAAGGAUAUCUUUGGACUGUCUGCAAAUCCUAAUAUGAAGAAUUUUGUAUUACAUUGUCUUCAAACAUUUUUCCAGCUCCAAUGAGUAAUUCAGUUUUUGUUUUUUAUCUAUGGCUAGCUUUGGUUAGUAGUUAGAUUGGAUUAAAAGUUGGCUGUUCCGUGAACUAAUACAAGUUCUUCUUUUUAAAUACAGGUAGUCCUUACUUUGCACUGUUUCCAGUUACUUGAAGAUCAGUUUUCACAGUUGAGUUAAAUAACACCAAUCCCUCUACAACAUGAUUGAAAUUUCAGUUACCGCGAUAGUAACCAGAUUGUUGCAUAAGUUUUGCAGAUAGCUCUUUAUUCCACAAAAGAUUAUGCAUAUAAAAGAUGGUCAGUAAACACUUAUGUCGCUUCUUUCAAAGUCUCUUGGUGGUUGAUCACUGAACAUCUAAUAGUUCACACGCAGAGUAAAGCAUGUAGUUAUGUUGCCUACUUGUUUCCCAGUGAUAAACCCAUGUGACAGAAUUGGUCAACAAAGAUGACUGGGCAGCAAAGAAAAAGUUUUAACACCAGAAAUGAAAUUGGAUGUCAUUAGAAGAUUUGAAAAUGGUGACAGCAUAGUGAAGACAAGAUAAGACCUGGGCUUACAUGAAGCUAUAAAAUGAACCAUCUUUUUAAAGUUCGAUGAAGCAAGAACUUUUAGGUAAAAUGCUUUAAGAUUUUUUAGUUUAAAUUAUACUAGGAACAGAAAGGCAUGUAUGGUUGAAAUGGAAUGUUUACUUCUCCUUUGGAUUGAGGACUGUAAAAAUAAAUCCCAGUCAGUUUGGCUAGUAUUCAGGCCAAAGUGUUGAGGUUAGUUGCUGCACUGAAGGAAAAUGGUAACUACAAGUAGACUGAAAAAGAACAUCUUAUUGCCUUCUAAUAAUAAAGGCUGGUUUCAUUGUUUACAAAGUCAGCAUGAAUUGAUUAAUGUUCUGCUAUCUGGUGAAGCUGCAAGCUCAGAGAAGCAUCUGUGAAAUUUGCACCCAUAUUCCAAGAAUCACAGGUAGUCUUUGCUUUGCACAGUAGUGCAAGACUACUAUGUAAAAACUUCACAAGGUUUGGCUGGAAUGCAGUUGGAGUUCUAGAAGAUACAGAUGACCAUGGGAAUGUUGACACUGCUGCCAAUCAAGAAGUAGUUCUACAUAUACAGCCAGAAGAAUUUAGUGAAGGCGAACAUUGUUAUAAAUGACGAAAGCAGUUGUGUGUUGUAAAGGAUCAAUAUGUUUCAGAGGAAGUGAUGGCAGGUGAAAAACCACAUUAAAGGAACACUCCUAUUUGAUGACAUUGAAUGCAUAAAUUUUAGAGGCAAAUCCAAACUCAGUUGAAAGGAGUAUGACAAUUUGCCAAGGUGUAGAAAAGAUGCUUGCUCCAUAUUGUAAGUUAUAUGAGAAGGCAAGCAAUAUUAAAACUAUUCUUGAGACUUUAAUAAAUAAAAUGCUAUAAUUUUCAA